GAAAGUCGAUAAAAUGAAGUUACAUUUAUAUAACCAUAUAUAGAUUUACUUAUCAAGUAUUGCCAGUUUAAAAAAAAAUAUCUCUUUUUGAAACCAAUCAGUAUUUGGAGAGUAAAAUUCAUAAUGAUAAGCAAUAGAAAUAAGACUCUUCAGGAAGGACAUGAACAAUAUUUCCGUAUUUUUGAUUAAAAUGUGCCGAUCACGAAGUGAUAAGCUGCUUGUUUUUGCAUUUAUAGGUCUCUUUAUACUGGUGUUUUCUCAAACAAAAAAUGGUGAAUGUACAGAAAGACCCGUUUCAGGCCAGUGUUGUUACAACUAUCAUCUUGUGGGCAAUAAAUGCGAGGAAAGCCUGUUAUUCAGUUUAUGUUUUCUGUAACAGUUGCAACAUUAAUCCCCAUACUACUGAGAAAAUGAACCAAUUUGAAACUUAUAUCAAUGUAUCUUCCAUCAAUCAGCCUGUCCCCCCGGAUUCUUUGGAAACAAUUGUAUCAACGCAUGCCCAAAAGGAAGUUACGGGAAUUUGUGUGGCAAUGAAUGCAUAAUUUGCUCAAUUUCCGAAUGCCAUCCAGUCUAUGGUUGUGCGAAGCCAACAAUCUCAACUCUUGUGAUAUCUUCACAAGUUGACCAUACAACUUCUCUCCUUUCUACGUACAGAGAAAACUCCACAAGGAAAUCUGCAGAUAGACCACCUUUUACUACAGAAAUUCCUCGAUCCACUUUAAAACAAUUUUCAAUUUCCACUCGUUUAAUCACCCCAUCUGUUAGCGGUGAUAAUAACAAUAAUAAUACUGUUAUUAUUGCGGUGGGUGGUGCUAUAACAUUAUGUUUGCUCAUACUUAUCAUUCAAGUUGGGUACAAACAAAUAUUACAAUGUAAGAGGAAAAAACGGCGUUUAUCUUCAAAACAAGAUCACACUGAAGAAACAUAUCAAGAAAUAACUGACAUUGAUGUGAACACAAGAAAAUGCAAUGAUGGUUCUAAAGAGAAAACAAAAUACAAUAUAUUAAACCGUGUGCCAGAGGUACCUGGACGGGGAUAUCGUGAGAUUCAAGAAAUACAGAUACCCGAGGAGACUCGAUCGGGAGGAACACUUCAUUCCGACAGCAGUGGAGAAUCCUAUGUAUCACCAAAUGAAAAUGCUUCCCUCCACACAUAUACUCCUGUUAUAGACUCUAAUGGUGAAGAUAUGAGGGCAAGGGGGCCAAGUGGUAGCAAUAAUUAUUUAAGCCCUGUUUUUGAAAUACAUGUGCCUUCUUCUGAGCAUGGGCACUCUGACUCAAGUCACAGUUCUACACAGUAUAAUGAUAUUGCAUUACCGCAGUGUGUAAAUCGGAUGGACGAAACUAAUAUCUAUCUUGAUGUAACGAACGAAUAAAUGAAUUUAAAA